UACGAAGGGGGCUAGCGUUGCUCGGAAUCACUGGGCGUAAAGCGCACGUAGGCGGAUCUUUAAGUCAGGGGUGAAAUCCUGGAGCUCAACUCCAGAACUGCCUUUGAUACUGGGAGUCUUGAGUUCGGGAGAGGUGAGUGGAACUGCGAGUGUAGAGGUGAAAUGCGUAGAUAUCGUAAGGAAGACCAGUGGCGAAGGCGAGUCUCUGGACAGUUACUGACGCUGAGGCACGAAGGCCAGGGGAGCAAACGGG
rnacentral:rRNA from 1 species